rnacentral:rRNA from 1 species
AACUUAAGCAUAUCAAUAAGCGGAGGAAAAGAAACCAACAGGGAUUGCCCUAGUAACGGCGAGUGAAGCGGCAACAGCUCAAAUUUGAAAUCUGGCUCUUUCAGAGUCCGAGUUGUAAUUUGCAGAGGGCGCUUUGGCUUUGGCAGCGGUCCAAGUUCCUUGGAACAGGACGUCACAGAGGGUGAGAAUCCCGUACGUGGUCGCUAGCUAUUGCCGUGUAAAGCCCCUUCGACGAGUCGAGUUGUUUGGGAAUGCAGCUCUAAAUGGGAGGUAAAUUUCUUCUAAAGCUAAAUAUUGGCCAGAGACCGAUAGCGCACAAGUAGAGUGAUCGAAAGAUGAAAAGCACUUUGGAAAGAGAGUCAAACAGCACGUGAAAUUGUUGAAAGGGAAGCGCUUGCAGCCAGACUUGCUUGCAGUUGCUCAUCCGGGCUUUUGCCCGGUGCACUCUUCUGCAGGCAGGCCAGCAUCAGUUUGGGCGGUGGGAUAAAGGUCUCUGUCAUGUACCUCUCUUCGGGGAGGCCUUAUAGGGGAGGCGACAUACCACCAGCCUAGACUGAGGUCCGCGCAUCUGCUAGGAUGCUGGCGUAAUGGCUGUAAGCGGCCCGUCUUGAAACACGGACCAAGGAGUCUAACAUCUAUGCGAGUGUUUGGGUGUCAAGCCCGAGCGCGUAAUGAAAGUGAACGGAGGUGGGAACCCGCAAGGGUGCACCAUCGACCGAUCCUGAAGUUUACGGAAGGAUUUGAGUAAGAGCAUGGCUGUUGGGACCCGAAAGAUGGUGAACUAUGCUUGAAUAGGGUGAAGCCAGAGGAAACUCUGGUGGAGGCUCGCAGCGGUUCUGACGUGCAAAUCGAUCGUCAAAUUUGGGCAUAGGGGCGAAAGACUAAUCGAACUAUCUAGUAGCUGGUUCCUGCCGAAGUUUCCCUCAGGAUAGCAGUAACGUAUUCAGUUUUAUGAGGUAAAGCGAAUGAUUAGAGGCAUGGGGGUUGAAACAACCUUCACCUAUUCUCAAACUUUAAAUAUGUAAGAAGCCCUUUGUUACUUAAUUGAACGCGGGCAUUUGAAUGAAACGUUAUUAGUGGGCCAUUUUUGGUAAGCAGAACUGGCGAUGCGGGAUGAACCGAACGAGGGGUUACGGUGCCGGAGUACACGCUCAUCAGACACCACAAAAGGUGUUGGUUCAUCUAGACAGCAGGACGGUGGCCAUGGAAGUCGGAAUCCGCUAAGGAGUGUGUAACAACUCACCUGCCGAAUGAACUAGCCCUGAAAAUGGAUGGCGCUCAAGCGUGUCACCUAUACCCCUCCGCCGGGGCAAAAUUUACGCCCCGGCGAGUAGGCAGGCGUGGAGGCUCGUGACGAAGCCUUGGGGGUGACCCCAGGUAGAACGGCCUCUAGUGCAGAUCUUGGUGG